rnacentral:rRNA from 1 species
AUUGAACGCUGGCGGCAUGCCUUACACAUGCAAGUCGAACGGCAGCACGGGGGCAACCCUGGUGGCGAGUGGCGAACGGGUGAGUAAUAUAUCGGAACGUACCCGGAAAUGGGGGAUAACGUAGCGAAAGUUACGCUAAUACCGCAUAUGCCCUAAGGGGGAAAGCGGGGGAUUCGCAAGAACCUCGCGUUUUCGGAGCGGCCGAUAUCGGAUUAGCUAGUAGGUGAGGUAAAGGCUCACCUAGGCGACGAUCCGUAGCUGGUCUGAGAGGACGACCAGCCACACUGGAACUGAGACACGGUCCAGACUCCUACGGAGGCAGCAGUGGGAAUUUUGGACAAUGGGCGCAAGCCUGAUCCAGCCAUGCCGCGUGAGUG